rfam:Mosquito flavivirus isolate LSFlaviV-A20-09, complete genome
CGCAAGGAAGGAAAGCUGGACGCUACCUUAGGUGGUGACGACACCUCGCCCCCAGUCUCCCAGGUUGGGGAUCGUACAACUUCGUUGGGCUAUUGCCCC